UUUUUUAAGAGAGAUGGCGCGUCGGUCAUGAAGAUAGGGAAAAAUAAGGCCGCGAAGUUGUUUUCAAGGCGGGGCUUUGAGCGUCGCCUGGCAACGGACUGGUUUUUCCACAGGCCGUGUGAGGCUGUCAACAUGGUCGCACUACAUAUGUAUUAAGCCUCAGUCGUCAGUUUUUCCGGAAGAGCAAAUGGUUUCCGGGUUUCCGUGUGGCGAAUUGGCGUCCAGGCUGUACCCUAUCGGGAACUUCCUGAACGGAGUGAGGGCCCCUAGUUUAUCAUGUUGAGGGAUGCGAGUCACUUGAUACUGAUGAUGAACGACAAAAUGUUCGUUCAGGAACCAAAGGCUGUUCCUGUGACAUCCUCAAUCGAGACCCGUACAAUAACUGCCAUUUCCGCAUCCACUUCGAAAGUCAAUACCGCACCGUCUCCUAGAGAAUGACGUCACCUAUACAAUCUCGACAAGUCUCUCUAAUUCCCCAAAUAUUUUGAUCUUGUUCGCUCUCUUGGCCGUGAAAUCACUCAUUGCCCUUCGUUUCCUGCUUCAACGAAAAUUAGACUUGAAAAUUUUGAAAGUUAUAUGAAUUGAGGAUGAAUUUUCGCUUUUCAAAUCGUAGGAAAUGCAUGCCGCUGUGUUUUUCUGAUACGAUAACGGCUGUCAGCCGACUGUCAAAUUCUUCUUCGACAAGGUGGUUAUUGAAAUGGAUGGCUAAUAUGAUUUUUCUAACUUAAGCAACAUUCAAAUAACUGUAUUCGUCUACCGCCGGAUGCUGGACAGAGACGCAGGCAUAUGCAAAGCCGUUGCCGUUUGGGUGAGGCUAAGCAGCCUAUUGAGCUUGAGGUGGCCGAACAUUAACAAUUUAUCACGCGAUCAGAAGAAAACAUUUAUGGAACAUGGAAACCCGAUCGCUUGCAUUAUCGUAUUACGAGCUACCCGGAAUGCGAGGUAGCAUUUCUCUUUGUCGUCAAUUUUUCUCGCGUUUGCUGUUCAAUCAAUAAUGUUUUGAGCAACAGAUGAAACGGCACAAGAAUAGGCUUCCAAUGGCUUCUAUCAUGAUAGGACAACAGGGCAGUGGAAAUGAGCUUACCUAUCGAACGUAUAAUAGGGGAUUAUUAAACCUAGGUCAUCAGUUCAGCCCGUCUAACCGAUUGAGCCCUGAACGGGUUAUUCCGUGGCGGGGUGGGGACCCCGAUUAGAACCACUCAAGGCAGACCACCAUAUACGUGUUACAUCCAAUUAUGCGUUUCAUAAAUUAAUACUACAAUUUUUUAAAGGUUUACUUUAACAAUAUUAAAGGUCUUGCAUGUGCGUGAAUAAAUAUUCAGGUAAAGAUUAAGUAACGAUCAUUGUUACACAUUAUUUAUCCUUGAGUUUUUAUUCAGGCACAUGCAGGCUUUAUUUAAAUGAGCUAUAUCUAAGAAUGAAUAAAAAAGUGGGAUCAUCGGUCAAAUUACCGGCCAGAGGCACCGGUAAUCCGUGUUGACUCCUAGCUUCCUCCAGGAACCGAGGACAUCCAUGGUCACCUCGCCCCGCCCUAGAUGGGGUGGGUGGGUGGGGCGCCCCGAUAGGAGUCAAUCGGGGCCGAUCGCUAUUUACGUAUUACAUAUGCAUUUUAUCAAAUAAUACUACAAUUUCGUCUAGAUUUAUCGUAAUCCUAUAAAAGAGCGUGAAAAUCCAAAUAAUGUUCAUUUAUUUAGUUUCAAGUAAUGGAAGAAAAUACCCGUAAUCUUCAAAUAGCCGGCUCCAGAAGAUCCUCAGAGUUAAAGUCAUGGUUUAACUUAAGCGGCCUUCAGGGUUAAGACAAGUAAUUUGGCAUGUGAAGCUAACAUUGGCAGGGCUCCCAAUUGGCGCCCCAUCAUCAUCCAUAACCAUACUUGGUGGAAGAUGAGCGAAACCACCAAUUUUUUUCCCGUUCCUUUUCCUAUUCUUUGGCUAACGCAUCAACGAAUAAACCAUAAAGAGAGUUAAGUCUCCAUGCGGAAUAACGACUUGACGUCACUCGCAUUCACAGCCGUCAUAACGUGGAUGCGGGAACUAAAUCCCUGAGAGAUUUUACUUUGGUAAAGAUGGAAGGCUAUGCCGUGGUUAUGCGCCCCAAACUGUUUAUUGUUUCCCUGGGGGUUCCAGCCGUUCUGUGAUUGGCUGAAAUUGGGCAGAAUUAUCGCGUGUAAACUGGGGAACUUUUCGUUUUCGUUUAUUUUUUAUUCGAUUCGCCGUGUUAAACUACGUGUCUGAGCAGAAUUUCAAAUCUGUUGGUGUUUGUGUUCAUUUUAU
rnacentral:lncRNA from 1 species